UACGUAGGUGGCGAGCGUUGUCCGGAUUUACUGGGCGUAAAGGGCGUGCAGGCGGUUUGUUAAGUGCAGGGUGAAAGCUCCCGGCUCAACUGGGAGAGGUCCUUGCAUACUGGCGAACUCGAGGGAGGCAGAGGAAAGUGGAAUUCCCGGUGUAGUGGUGAUAUGCGUAGAUAUCGGAAGGAACACCUGUGGCGAAGGCGGCUUUCUGGGCCUUACCUGACGCUGAGACGCGAAAGCGUGGGGAGCGAACCGG
rnacentral:rRNA from 1 species